AAUUUUGGACAAUGGGGGAAACCCUGAUCCAGCCAUCCCGCGUGUAUGAUGAAGGCCUUCGGGUUGUAAAGUACUUUUGGCAGAGAAGAAAAGGUACCACCUCAUACGAGGUACUGCUGACGGUAUCUGCAGAAUAAGCACCGGCUAACUACGUGACAGCAACCGCGGUAAUAAGUAGGGUGAAAGCGUUAAUCGGAAUUGCUGGGCGUAAAGCGUGUGUAGGCGGUUCGGAAAGAAAGAUGUGAAAUCCCAGGGCUCAACCUUGGAACUGCAUUUUUAACAGCCGAGCUAGAGUAUGUAAGAGGGGGGUAGAAUUCCACGUGUAGCAGUGAAAUGCGUAGAUAUGUGGAGGAAUACCGAUGGCGAAGGCAGCCCCCUGGGAUAAUACUGACGCUCAGACACGAAAGCGUGGGGAGCAAACA
rnacentral:rRNA from 1 species